GGGUUGUGAGGUUAAGCGACUAAGCGUACACGGUGGAUGCCCUGGCAGUCAGAGGCGAUGAAGGGCGUGCUAAUCUGCGAUAAGCGCCGGUAAGGUGAUAUGAACCGUUAUAACCGGCGAUACCCGAAUGGGGAAACCCAGUGUGAUUCGUCACACUAUCAUUAACUGAAUCCAUAGGUUAAUGAGGCGAACCGGGGGAACUGAAACAUCUAAGUACCCCGAGGAAAAGAAAUCAACCGAGAUUCCCCCAGUAGCGGCGAGCGAACGGGGAGGAGCCCAGAGCCUGAAUCAGCAUGUGUGUUAGUGGAAGCGUCUGGAAAGGCGCGCGAUACAGGGUGACAGCCCCGUACACAAAAGCGCAUGUGCUGUGAGCUCGAUGAGUAGGGCGGGACACGUGGUAUCCUGUCUGAAUAUGGGGGGACCAUCCUCCAAGGCUAAAUACUCCUGACUGACCGAUAGUGAACCAGUACCGUGAGGGAAAGGCGAAAAGAACCCCGGCGAGGGGAGUGAAAAAGAACCUGAAACCGUGUACGUACAAGCAGUGGGAGCACCCUUCGGGGUGUGACUGCGUACCUUUUGUAUAAUGGGUCAGCGACUUAUAUUCUGUAGCAAGGUUAACCGAAUAGGGGAGCCGGAGGGAAACCGAGUCUUAAUUGGGCGUUAAGUUGCAGGGUAUAGACCCGAAACCCGGUGAUCUAGCCAUGGGCAGGUUGAAGGUUGGGUAACACUAACUGGAGGACCGAACCGACUAAUGUUGAAAAAUUAGCGGAUGACCUGUGGCUGGGGGUGAAAGGCCAAUCAAACCGGGAGAUAGCUGGUUCUCCCCGAAAGCUAUUUAGGUAGCGCCUCGUGAAUUCAUCUCCGGGGGUAGAGCACUGUUUCGGCUAGGGGGCCAUCCCGGCUUACCAACCCGAUGCAAACUGCGAAUACCGGAGAAUGUUAUCACGGGAGACACACGGCGGGUGCUAACGUCCGUCGUGAAGAGGGAAACAACCCAGACCGCCAGCUAAGGUCCCAAAGUCAUGGUUAAGUGGGAAACGAUGUGGGAAGGCCCAGACAGCCAGGAUGUUGGCUUAGAAGCAGCCAUCAUUUAAAGAAAGCGUAAUAGCUCACUGGUCGAGUCGGCCUGCGCGGAAGAUGUAACGGGGCUAAACCAUGCACCGAAGCUGCGGCAGCGAACGUAUCACCCAAGACAACUUUGCGGAGUUGACGAUUGACGGAGCGAAGCGACGUCAAAGCGUUCAUUAAAGUCGAGUUGGCUUAGGGAUACGUUCGUUGGGUAGGGGAGCGUUCUGUAAGCCUGUGAAGGUAUGCUGUGAGGC
rnacentral:rRNA from 1 species